ACACCCAUCCCAAUGAGUCACCAGAAAGGCUCUCUGGUUCUUCUUACAGGCAGGGCAUGAAAAGGGCUUCGUCCCACACAGUGGCUAAAUUGGGGACAUGGCUCAGCAUCAUCGCUGCAGGCUGGACGUGGGGACACGGAGCCUGCAGGACUGAGCUACUGGGGUCAGCAGCUCCUGCCACCAUCAAGUCAAAAUCACGGGUUGUUGCUGGCUGAUAGGAGAAUUGGAGCUUGGGGGAAAUGCCAGUAGGAAAAACCAAGGUGAUUCUGUGCAAGGGAAUGUGAGAAAAUGAUGGAGGAGCAAGGAGCAAGCAAAAGAGGUGGAAGAAAAAAAAGAAAAAAGGAAGAGGUUGAACUGAAGUGGUGCUCUAAGGAAUGAGAGACAAAGGAAAAGCUUGUAAAGCCAGAGAAAAGCAUGUAAAAUCACUUUCUGGGGAAAAAAAAAAAAAAAGAGAGAGAGAGAGAGAGAGAGGAAGGACCCUUGGGUAGUAGUGAGGAGUAUAGAUGUACUUUCUCAUUUUGCAGAAAGGUGGCUUUCCAUAUCUCAGCUCCGGCGGGUAAUGGCAGUUUGGUUAUUUCUAGCAACCCCCCCAUCCUCCUACACGUUCAAAUGUUCCUGUCAGAAAUGGUCAAAAUGUUUGAACUGAUUUUUUUUUUCUUACCCUAAGGAGAAAUGUCCUUCCCAACAAUACAAACAUUGUGACAGAAGAGGUAAUUUUGGACGGAACGAUUCACAAUGCAAACAAAACCAGAAUCCAGCGAGAAUUAUUGGCGUAUCUGAUUUCAUCUGUGUUAUGGCAGAAGUCUGAAGGAUGCCUCACUGAUUUUUGGCAGAAAAGGACUAGGACAGACAAAGAGGAAUCAAAGUGCUGCUUUCCCCUCUCCCUGACCCAACCCUGAAGUUGUUUCUCUCAAAGGCAAUUAUUUCAUCCAGCUCAGCCCUGCAGUAAUGUUUUUUCUCCACCCAUUUUUUUUUUGGAAACCAGGUCCAAUAGAUUAAGUUUCCAGUUACAGAUAUGAGAGCUAUUCCCUGACCUCGUUAUCCCGAGGAAAAGGGGUAACGUUAUCCUUCUGCUCUCAUUAAGAGCAGCCCCAUCCAGCCGCGGGCAGGGCACGUGGGGACAGCCCCUGCUGUUCCCCAGCUCCCUGUGGGUCGCAGCAGGAAGCCUCUGAGAAGGCACAGGGAAAACCCGAACAUCUGGAGCAGCUUGCGUGGCGCAGAGGUGAAUUUAUGGGCGAUGCCGUCAGCAGUAGACGGCAGGUGGCACCCAUGGAUUAGCGCAGGGCUUGCUCUGGGUGCGCGUGAGCUUGGCUGGGCGAUGCCUGAAGCGAGGGCCAGGAGAGAUGCUUUAACUCCAUCUCCUUGGGGAAUUAAUAAAUAAGUAGGGAAAGGGGAAAAAAGGAGGGAAAUGGGCCCUCUUGAUUGCACGCAGGGACUGCUGUGUCCCAUUUUUGCUGGCCUGGGGCACAUUCAGGCUAUUCUCUUCGCAUUUUGUUAGCCUAGGGAGCGAGCUUGUAUUGAGGCCCUGAAUGCCUGGCAUGUCCAUAGGAAGCAGGCUUGCUCUGCCAGGGAGCAAAAAGUGCACUGCUCCUCCAGGGAAGUGAAGUGAGGGCACGCAGUGGCUGGCAGGAUGGAAACAAGCCCCAAGGGACUUGAACAAGGGGAGCUGAAGGCAGCCAAGAGUCCAGACCAUCAGGGGUGCUCACAGCGAGGAGAUCAAGGCAAGAAAUCUGUCUGUGGGGCAGGAUCAGGCAUGGCGAGGGCAACCAAGCUCAGAUUCAGUGGGGCGACCCCUGCACAAGUCUAUAACUAAAAUGAAGGCAAUGAAACUCAGAUCAGACAAUGAAAUUUGGGUCAUUUGGAGGCUGAUGGAGGGACGAAGCAGAACAGGGGUUCAUCACGCUGGGUGCUGCACACACCCAUGCCAUUUGUUGUAUCUCCUACGUGAUGCUUUGUCUGGCCAUGGGGACAUGGCCUGGGGACAGGGGACAUCCCUCCAGAUGCUGUCCAUGGAAGGAGCCCCCAAGCAGCUCCAGACCCUUCAGGAUGCACUAGGGUGCUACAAGGGCACCUGAGAUGACACAAAAUAAAUACCAGCCACGAGAAGGAAGGGGAGCAGCCAUGAGGGCACUACUGGCCUUUAAGGACCCCAUUCAGCCUCACCUUCCUCUCCAUCAAGGAGCACCAGGAAGGACUAGGCAAAACGGGCUGAAAACCUUCCAGAAAGGUGCAGAGAGGGCUGGGACAAGCUUCCGGAUGCAAAUGCAAAAAGUAAUUUCUGCAGAAGGAUUUCUCUAUCGAUAGGAGAAAACGAACAAUAGGGGAUGGCGGUGAGCGGCCACAGGCUCAGCUGAAUAUCUUCUGUAUCUCUCUAGAAAAGCUUGGGGGAGUGCUGAGGGGGGGGGAGAUUUAAUUGAUGGCAAACAUUAUGGGCUGCACAGAGGUAGAGGUGCUCCAGACUGCGCAGGGAGGACUUUUAUAGCAGCUAGCAGAUGAGCGUUGUGAAAGAUGGCUGUGAUUCUUUGGGCAUUUCUGGGUUAGAUUGCAGUAAAAUUGCAGCAAGAAAGCAAUUUUGCUUUAAUCAACUAUAUAACAAAGCCCCAACACAGUGAAGAGCAGAAGGUGUCAGAAGAUAGGAAAUUGUCGGCAUUGCUGGAGCUGAAAGAUAAGAUUGUACUCUCCAUGGCUACACUAAAAGAGGAUAAAUGAUCCACAGGGGCAAUUCAGAAAGAAAAUAACCUACAAUUAAAGUUGUUUGAAUAACAGUCUUAGGGAAGCACGGGAGGAGAAAAAAGCCAGUUUCAGUGGAAAGUCUGAAGUCUCCUUCCCACGUGCUUUCAGAAAGCAGAACUUUUUUUUUGGGAAAUGAAAGAAAAACUGAGCAGGGCAACCCCUACAGAAGAGCAAAGGAUGAGUUAUAGGGGACCCUACAGGGAUGGGAGGAGGUGGUUGUGUUCUGCUCAGCACAGGACCGCUCCCAAGCAGGCAGCAGGGAUAUUUGGAGCGAGUCGGCACCUCCCGUGCUGCAAAAUCCCCCGUCCCACCAGCCACCUGCCGAGGGGCCCCGCUGUAAGCAGAUGGCUGCGGGGAGGGCUGCGGGGAGCGCUGCGGGGCGGCGUGAACGCGGCUUCCUCGUGCGCCACGCUGCUCGGGCAGCUGCGGGGUGGAAGCCGAAGGCGGCCGCCCCAGCCGAGCUCCGCGGUGACUUGUGCGGCUGCCACGCUGCCUUGCGUGCUGGCAGCUGGCUCGGAGGAAGAGAAGGAGGAGGAGGAGGAUGCUGAGAUGACGGAGGAGCUGCUUUGGGAAGGGCUUUUCUUGGGAAAGUUCUUCUGUGCGGCGCGGGGUGGGCUCCAAAAUUGUGUGGCUGAGCUGGAAACGGGGCCCACCAGCGCUCUGCUUCCUGAAAUCAGCUGCUCUGCGAGCACCAGCGUGGGGGCUGUUCCCUCCCAGGUCUCCUUUCCCUUCUGACCAUCCCUUUUCCACCAUCCCUGUCGGCGUUCGGAGCCAGGACAGCAGCUGGGGGCCACCCUGGGUGCUGCCAGCAUCCUGCUGGGUGUCCAAGGGCCAGGAGCAGUAGGGCACGAUGCGUCCUGAGGCUCCCAAAGGUCUGUGUCAAGGCAACCUGAAGGUUUAUUAGGGUUAUUGUUGCUUUGUGGGUGGAAAGCCUGAUUUUGUCCAACUUCACCCACCUUUGAUGUGGUAAAUAGAAGUGCCAGUGACUGAGAAUUUGCAUGUGGCUGCUCUGAGCGGCUUUGGGGUGAACGUGGUGCCAGAGCACGCAGACUGCGACCAGCACAGCUUGUGUGCGAGCACAGCAAAUACCAAAUAGCCCGGGCAAAUCUGCUUUGUAUGGCUUGCUCCUCACCAGCACGGCAUCUGCUGAAGUUCUGCACGGCUGGGCCCUGCUGUCACCGCGUGGGACACCAAAGGCUCUGCUUUGCUGCUACCCCGCUCCUUUUUCUGCUUGCUUGCUUGUGCACAAACUCAGCUCGUGGGCUCCAGAGUGAGCCAAAGAAAACACCUUAAGGAAUGGCUCUAGAGAUGACAAAAAUACUAUUUUUAAAAGAUGAAUUGAUGAAAGCCGUGCUGAAAGCAAUCCUGCAGAGGUGUUGCUGGGGAAAAGAAAAGCCUCGUGACUUUCCUCUGAUAAGAAAAUAUUCCUUCCUCACGCUGCUGGCGUCCCCCGGGGGGGAGUUUGUGCAUCUGGAGUCCAUCGCCGGGCUCUCUGCUUCUGAACGACUGCCGUGUGCUGCAGAAAUCGCUGAGCUCCCUCCAGAGCAGCCUCCCACCACGUGCAUGGACCCGAAACAUCUGCGCUCAGGCGGCGGUGAGUGACUCACUGUCCCCAGCCCCAGCAUGGCCACAUCCGAAGCGUUUCGGCUCCGUUCCUCCAAGCGAGCAGGGCUGAGGCCGUCCCAGCUGCAGCCUCAGCAAAAAGCCCCAGGAACAGCAGGGCAGGACCAGCACUGGGCUUCUCCCGGGACCAGCUCCUCGCUCUGCUGAGGCUCCGAGCAGCCCCAAGCCCUCUCUGCUCCUCUUUUUGCUCCGAAUCACUGGCAGGCGUUAUGAAUAUGCAUGUGCCCCAGCACCUUAGUGCGUCUCCUCGAGCAGAUCCUGGCUGAGCGUAAAAUUAAACUUGCAAAUCGCCGCC